rnacentral:lncRNA from 1 species
AAAUAACCUAAACUUGGCUUAUAGGUGGAUCUGCCUUAUUUGUGGGUACAAACCAAGAAUUCAAGAGUGACCUUGAAAUGAUGUGAUACAAACAGGGGAUCGCAUAGCCUUAGAAGACUACGGCAUCUUCUCUGCUGUAAAGUGGAUCCCCUGGUCUGUGUGGGAAUCCUCUGCUGGUGGACCAAACACCCUAUUAGCUUUCAUAGUGAUCUAGCUGGGAUCCUGCAGGCCUCUGAACAGUUGACCAUUUUUUGGCCUCUGGCCAAAAAGCUAAGCUUGUUGCCACCUUCUCUGAAUCAUGUAUACUGUAACCUUGGGCCACUCCCCCUUGUACCCAAAGUGGACAUAGCCAAGUGCUAGGAGCAUUUAUAUAUAUUUACAUUUCUAUGUUUUUGUUUCUCUUGAGUAAAUAUCUAGAAAUGGAAUUGCUGGCUCGUAUGGCUCUGUUGCAAGUGCUUUAUGAAUAUGAAUCAUGUAACUUCACUACACCAGUCAUUCCCAUUUUGCAGACGAAGAAAUGGAGUCUCAGAGAGCCUAAGUUUCCUGUCUAAGAUCAUGUAACUUCUAAGACAGGGAACUCAGCACACUCCAAAACAGUUCCCGCUAACUCUGAUCACGAGGAAGAUUUUCAUUAUGUGGACUCAGAAUCUGUGUCAUGGUAAUUUUUACUCAUUGGUUCUGGGGAAAUCAAUGGGAGCCCCACAAAACAAGUUCAAAAUUCUAUUCCACAGUUCAUUAAAUUUCUAAAGACAGACUGACAUUUCCAAUUCUGUCAACAGUUCCUGCAUUCCAGCCCUGUGUUGAGCAGACUCCAAUUUGCUUAUGAAGUUUGUGGCUAUGACACCUGAUCUCAACCUCUUGCUCCAGUUGCAGCCUGAGCAGAGCAGAGUAAAUCAUGACUUCAUCAGCCUCAUUUCAGGCUCCCCUUCACGAGCACUCUACAAUGAAUAAUACUUUGAUUGACAAGAUGAAGUGAAUUAGCUCUCAAAUUUUGAGAGUGUGUAGAUGUAUGCUCACGGAGAAACAUUU